rnacentral:rRNA from 1 species
UACGUAGGGGGCGAGCGUUGUCCGGAUUCAUUGGGCGUAAAGAGCUCGUAGGCGGCUUGUCAAGUCGGGUGUGAAACCUCCAGGCUCAACCUGGAGACGCCACUCGAGACUGUCAUGGCUAGAGUCCGGUAGGGGAUCACGGAAUUCCUGGUGUAGCGGUGAAAUGCGCAGAUAUCAGGAAGAACACCCGUGGCGAAGGCGGCUUUCUGGGCCGACCCUGACGCUGAGGCGCGAAGGCGCGGGGAGCGAACGGG